GUCCUGUCUCAAGAUGCUCCAUGGAGUCAUCGAGCCGGUAUACACACAAUUUAUUAUACCGUCCUAUCUCCAAAUGCUCCGUAGAGUCAUCGAGCCGGUAUACACACAAUUUAUCAUACCGUCUUGUCUCCAGAUGCUCCGUAGAGUCAUCGAGCCAGUAUACACACAAUUUAUCAUACCAUCCUGUCUCCAGAUGCUCCGUAGAGUCAUCGAGCCGGUAGAUCAUAUCAUUCCAAGCAAAUAAUCAAAUAACCAGUUUUAUCAUUCCCGAUAAAAUGCCAUGAGUGGAUACUCGAUUGGCCUUAGCCAAAACAUAAUAAUUUCCUUUUUAUAAAUUCCACCAUUUUCUGUAGCCCACUCAGAUCCUUUUGGCAUUAUCAACCGAAGCCUAGUUCUUUUUCAAUUAAUAACCAAAGAUUAUUCAAUUAAAGAAUAAUUCAUUCUUUCAAAAAUAAUUCAAUUCAGCAUGAAAUAGGGCUCAAUUAAAUAAACGGAC
rnacentral:lncRNA from 1 species